rnacentral:rRNA from 1 species
GACGGAGGAUGCAAGCGUUAUCCGGAAUGAUUGGGCGUAAAGUGUCCGCAGGUGGCAGUUCAAGUCUGCUGUCAAAAACCGGGGCUUAACUUCGGAAAGGCAGUGGAAACUGAACAGCUAGAGUAUGGUAGGGGCAGAGGGAAUUCCUGGUGUAGCGGUGAAAUGCGUAGAGAUCAGGAAGAACAUCGGUGGCGAAGGCGCUCUGCUGGACCAUAACUGACACUCAGGGACGAAAGCUAGGGGAGCGAAUGGG